AUUGAACGCUGGCGGCAUGCCUUACACAUGCAAGUCGAACGGCAGCACGGGCUUCGGCCUGGUGGCGAGUGGCGAACGGGUGAGUAAUAUAUCCGAACGUACCCAGCAGUGGGGGAUAACGUAGCGAAAGUUACGCUAAUACCGCAUACGAUCUUUGGAUGAAAGCAGUGGUCCGCAAGGCCUUGUGCUCCUUGAGCGGCCGAUAACUGAUUAGCUAGUUGGUGAGGUAAAGGCUCACCAAGGCGACGAUCAGUAGCUGGUCUGAGAGGACGACCAGCCACACUGGAACUGAGACACGGUCCAGACUCCUACGGGAGGCAGCAGUGGGGAAUUUUGGACAAUGGGCGAAAGCCUGAUCCAGCAAUGCCGCGUGAGUGAAGAAGGCCUUCGGGUUGUAAAGCUCUUUUGUCAGGGAAGAAACGGUGGAGGCUAAUAUGCGUUGAUAAUGACGGUACCUGAAGAAUAAGCACCGGCUAACUACGUG
rnacentral:rRNA from 1 species